CAUAUAGUUCUGACUAAUUUGUAAAUUUUUGCCUGAUAAGUGGGGUUUUAUUCUGAUUUUUUUGUUCAUUUCUACGUUUACAGUUUUUAAUUAUUUGGCUUUCAUUUGUACUCAUUCACUUAUACUCCAUUUAUAGUUAAUUGUGUGUCUACUCCCCAAUGCUGCUGGGCAAAAAAUUACACAGAAGAUUAUUAUAAAGAAGGUUAAAAGACAUUGAUUCAGAAAGAAAACAGCCCACCAAAUGGUAGAAAGCAUCAAGAAUGGUGUGCUGCCCAAUGUUCAAGUUCCACCUGCUCCAGAGGACACUCUUAUAUGCUCUACACUGGAUAUCAUUUCUGAAUACAGAAUGCAAUGGUUUCCAUCUGGCAAUGCUAGAAAUUCCAGAUUAAGAGGAUGCAGCUCCUGGGAUAUUACAGAAGAUUGUCCACAGGCAAUAAUUUUUAAAUUAUCUAACCCUUUGGAGACACAAAUUAUAACAAAGACAAAUAGAAAAUAAAUAUGU